CCGAGGUCGCCGCCGCGCUUGGCGGAGUUGCAGUCGGAGUUGUCGCGGGCGGCGGCGUCGAACUGGAGCUCCCCGGCGGCGAUCUGGUCGCGGAGGGCGCGGGCGAGGUCGGCGGCGUCGUCGCGGGUGGUGGCGGAGAUGGCGACGCCGUCGGGGUCCCGCCACGAGGCCUUGCGCCGGGACCCCUCGUGCUUGAUCAGGAUGUGCGACGCCCGCAUCGUCUCCCUCUUCCCCUUGCCCCCGUCCCCGGGGCGCCCCGGCCUCUGCUGCCGCUGCGGCUGCGGCUGCGGCUGCUGGCCGUGGCGCUCGCGGGAGCCGGAGGAGGGGUGCUCCGCGCGGCGGCGCUUGCUGUCGGCGCCCGCGGCCGCGUCCUGCCCGCCCGGCCGCUUCCGGGCCGCGUCGCCGUCUCCGGCGGCCGCGGCCGGGGCGGGGGCGGGGGCGUCUGUCCCCAUCUUGCGUCGCGGCGGGCCGCUGCGGCAGAGGAGCUGA
rnacentral:rRNA from 1 species